CGAUGAGGUAGAGGUCGCGGUUUUUAUCAGUAAUGCGGACGAGGUGUAGAGACACCCCUGACUCCGUUUGAAAGGAAAAGCUGCCGAAGUGUGUUUUUCAUCUCUGAAAAAGCAUGCUGGGGCUGUCUCCAAAUAGGAACAGAACUGUCACGUAUAGUCCUACCAGCUAUUCGUGUUGAGCUAUCUUUCGG
rnacentral:ncRNA from 2 species